rnacentral:rRNA from 1 species
AUUGAACGCUGGCGGCAGGCCUAACACAUGCAAGUCGAACGAGUGGCGGACGGGUGAGUAAUGUCUGGGAAACUGCCCGAUGGAGGGGGAUAACUACUGGAAACGGUAGCUAAUACCGCAUACCAUCGGAUGUGCCCAGAUGGGAUUAGCUAGUCGGUGGGGUAAAGGCUCACCUAGGCGACGAUCCCUAGCUGGUCUGAGAGGAUGACAAGCCAAACUGGAAAGGAGACACGGUCCAGACUACUACGGGAGGCAGCAGGGGGGAAGAUUGGACAAGGGGCGAAAGCCUGAUGCAGCCAUGCCGCGUGUAUGAAGAAGGCCUUCGGGUUGUAAAGUACUUUCAGCGAGGAGGCGUUACUCGCAGAAGAAGCACCGGCUAACUCCGUGCCAGCCGCCGCGGUAAUUC